UAAACAUUGAUAAAUUUUACACCAACUAUCCGCCUGGGAACUACGAGCAUUAGCUUAAAACCCAAAGGACUUGGCGGUGCUUAAGAUCCCCCUAGAGGAGCCUGUUCUAGAACCGAUAAUCCACGUUUAACCUCACCCUCUCUUGUUUUUUCAGUCUAUAUACCGCCGUCGUCAGCUUACCCUGUGAAGGUUUCAUAGUGAGCGAAAAUGGCACAGCCCAAAACGUCAGGUCGAGGUGUAGCACAUGAGGGGGGAAGAAAUGGGCUACAUUCCCUAAAUAUAGGAGCAAUACGGAUGAUAUAUUGAAAUAUAUAUUUUAAGGAGGAUUUAGCAGUAAGUGAAAAUCAGAAUAUUUCACUGAACUCGGCUCUAAAGCGCGCACACACCGCCCGUCACUCUCCCCGAGUUUUAUAAAAUUACAUUUAUAAUAAACUUUGCUAACAAAGGGGAGGCAAGUCGUAACAUGGUAAGUGUACCGGAAGGUGUACUUGGACAAAC
rnacentral:rRNA from 1 species